UUACCUACAAACAAGAAAGGGCUACUCCCAAGCCAGUCUGAAAUCUUAAGCUCUCAGGAUGGAUCUUCAGGUUUUCUACAGCAGACCCUACCUCUCCAGAAUACUUUAAAAUUGCUUCAAGAACAGCUGACUAUACAGAGGGGUAUGAUUCAGCCUAGACUUAAUGCUCAAGAGACGUUACUUUUACAUAAAGAAAGAUGCUCAGUAGACAGUAAAGCUGGGCCAGUAAACUCCCUCUCCUCUGCAGUUGCUCAGCAUUCAGAAGCUGGGCCUCAGAGUCUCCAGGAACUGUAUUCAUCUAAGAAAGAAAAUACAGUUCUCUCCAGUCAUUUGAUCACCCCAGAGGUUCAAGAGGAGUCUCAUGGCUCUCCACAGCACAGCCUGCCAAGACAAGAACAUUUUGCAUCACUGCAGGAACAGGCACAUAUUCAGAGGGUUAUACUUGGUGCUAGAAAACAAAUUCAGGAAUUUGCUCACAAACAAAAUGAAUUUAAAAAGGGACUCUAUUCUCAACAGACUGGCGCCUUGUCUUCUCCAUCCCAAGGAACUGGAUGGGAAAUAUCCCAGGAGUCUCUAUCAGUCAGAAGUGAUAGUACAGAUCCCUUAAGCCAUUUUAAGAUUCCAGGAUUUCAGGAACGACUAGUUAGGGCCUUACAACCUACAUUCCCUCUACGAGAUAAUUUGCAGGAGCACCAAGAAUGGGUAGACCCAGAAAAAGAG
rnacentral:lncRNA from 1 species